rnacentral:tRNA from 1 species
GGGUCGUUAGCUCAGUUGGUAGAGCAAUUGGCUUUUAACCAAUUGGUCGUAGGUUCGAAUCCCACACGACCCACCA